GACCGCCACAGCAAUAAAGAAAUAGUUCUAUCUGGGAGUAAAAUCCCGAAGCUUCGCUGGGACGACAAUAUCGACAAGACAGAGAAACUUUUUUUCAAUCAUCGUGGUCAGUCUCUUCACGGAGGAGUUUUUUUGAUGAAUUUCCUUUCCUGACUGCCCUUCGUUGUGAAUGGAUGCGAUGGAUUUUAGUAAUAAAAUCCAAAAGUUAAAACCGUUUGCCGGAAAAAUAAUUCUAAAUCAAUGGAAUAACUUAUUUAAAAAUAAUAAAUUAAAAUUUUUGAGUGCUACAUUUUAUGGCUGAAUUAAAAAAUGCACAAUGCAUCGUGUUAUAAAAAGAAAGAGGUUCUGAAAUGUUGGAAUGGAGCAACAAUGAGGAACCAAUAAAACACGUGUAUCAGAAUUACUUAAAUGUAAUGUGAGCUGACUUGAAAAAACGUGGGCAAGGUUUCCAUUUUUAACUAUGUGAAAAAGAUUCUAAAGUGUUGGAAUGGAGCAACAAUGAAGAAGCAAAAAAUCACAUGAUUUACCUAUGUAAUGAUUUGAGUGAAAAUUUUAUCACCCAAUGAUUCAUCCCGAUCUGCAAAUCUGAGUGAAUUAAAUGUUACAAAAUAGCUGUAGAUGAAGAUAUCAACUUUUCUUCAAACCAAGAAAUGUCGCUACCAAAAAAAAAUGGUUCCCAUCUUUGUCACUCCUCGCAAUCAUCAAGAGAAACCCAAAAAAUUAUAAAAAUUUUAUUUUAAUUUGUAUACAUACCUGCCAGCUCAUUGAAAUAUUGUUAAUUAUUUAUUUUAAAAAAUUAAUAAAUAAAUAAAAACUGAAAUAGUUUGUAUGAGAAAAUUUUUUAUUAAAUAUCAUUUGAUAAUCAGAUAUAAAUUCGCCGAUCAAUAAAUUUAAUGUAAAAUUUAGCAGAGAAAUAUUUAAAUCGUUGAGCAUUCAAUAACUGAAAUUAAAUAAUAAAUACAUAGUUUAAUAAUUACGGAAAAAUUAUCUAUUGUCUACUAACCUUUAAAUAGUACAGUACAAAAGAAAAAAAAAUAAUAUGACUAAUUGUACAAUUCUACAAUGUUAAAGUUAACAAUUUUGUUAGCGGUAAACCCGGGCAGAAAAAAAAUACAAUUUAACAUGAUCACUGCUGGGUAACUGACGUUAUACUCUAUCAAUCUAUCACAUAAUAAAUUUACCAAUAAACUUAUUUUAUAUAACAAUAUUUUUAUUAAAUAGGCUUUUAUACGUCUUGUUAACUCGACAGUAAUCAAUAAUAAUAUUUUUUCUGUUAAGUAUUCUCUUUGUUCCUAUAAAGAAGCUAUUUUCAAAAUGGCAAAUUAACUAUGGCUACUACCAAAAAAUAUUAGUUUCUCUAU